rnacentral:lncRNA from 1 species
UUUUUGUCUUUUUGUCUUUUCUAGGGCCGCACCCAUGGCAUAUGGAGGUUCCCAGGCUAGGGGUCCAAUCAGAGCUGUAGCUGCCAGCCUACACCAGAGCCACAGCAACGAGACAUCUGAGCUGCAUCUGCAAACUACACCACAGUUCACAACAAAGCCAGAUCCUCAACCCACUGAGCGAGGCCAGGGAUCAAACCCACAACCUCAUGGUUCCUAGUCGGAUUUGUUUCCACUGUGCCACAACAGAAACUCCACUAAACUAUAUAUUUUUUUUUUUUAUUUGAAAAGCAGCUAUGAUCAACACUGUACUACCAACAGACAUUAAUUUUGUUUUGUUUUGUUUUUUUUUCUUAGGGCUGCAGGUGCAGCUUAUGGAAGUUCCCACGCUAGGGGUGGAAUCAGAGCUACAGCUGCCAACCUACACCACAGCCAUAGCAACACAGGAUGUGAGCCGCAUCUUUGACUUACACCACAGCUCAUGGCAAUGGUGGAUCCCUGACACACUGAGCAAGGCCAGGGAUUGAACCUGCGCCCUCAUGGAUACUAGUCAGGUUCAUUUCCACUACACUACAAAUCAUCAUUCUCUACAAGAAAAUUGGUUGAGGAGUUCCCGUCGUGGCGGAGUGGUUAACGAAUUCGACUAGGAACCAUGAGGUUGCGGGUUCGGUCCCUGCCCUUGCUCAGUGGGUUGACAAUCCGGCGUUGCUGUGAGCUGUGGUGUAGAUUGCAGGCGCGGCUCGGAUCCCGCGUUGCUGUGGCUCUGGCGUAGGCUGGUGGCUAUGGCUCCGAUUGGACCCCUAGCCUUGGAACCUCCAUAUGCCGCGGGAGCGGCCCAAGAAAUAGCAAAAAAAAAAAAAAAAAAAAAAAAGAAAAAAGAAAAUUGGUUGAGUUUUUCUUUAGUACUUUACCAUUUUGAAUAUUUUAGUAUAUAUGUAUCCUUUUGAAGUUGUCUUUCAACAAGUAUUAUAAUUUUCUUCACAAUGAGUACAUAUAUCUUUUACCAGCUCCGUACCUAGGUAUUUCAUUUUCUAUACCAGCACAGAGUAUAAUAAAUGAAAAUUUAAAGAUGCAACUUGAUAUAACAUAUAACAAAUUUCUCAAGCCCAAAACUGGCAUGUAGUAGUAUGCACUCCAUAAUAUCUUUUUUUCCCCAUAAUAUCUGAAAGCAGAUUUAUAAAUGGUUAAAUGGUAAAUAAUUACAUGAUGAGCAUUUACCAUUUAUUUUUGAGUGAACAGUAUGCCUACCUAUGGCUUGUAUAUGUCAGAUACCAUUCUAUUUAGGUACUCAGUCUUCUCGGGGGAUUUUUUUCCCCAUGAUAAGAAACUCUGAUGUCUCUAGGUCUUACCUCAGUAUGCCACUAAUCCAGUGAUACAGGAUCUAAGGAAUAGCUUCAAAGGGGCAUAAGAUAGCAUUUUAUAUUAAUUUAUCUUUUCUUUUCCCAUGAUUUCCUUUCCUUCUUUAUGUUUUGACAUGUGUAAUUGAACUUUCCUGAUAAGUAUAUUCAGCUCAACUUAUUGCACUUCAUUGAAGCCUUACAAAAAUUUUCAUGUGUAAAUAUUAUACUUAUAUCCUUCUCUAUACUUUUUUGUUGAUAAUUGUGUUGUACAAAUUUGUUUGCUAUAAAGAUUGGCUUCUUUUUCAGUGGAAAAUAUGAUAAAAAUAUUGAAAAUUGUAUUACAUCAUCACUAUUGUCGUCAUUGGUCCCACUGUAGUAUUUCUAAAUAUUUCCAAAUUCUUAACCUUAGGCAUCUUACAGUUAAAUUUUUUUAAAGUCUUUUAAGUUAUUCAGCACUUUGACAACUCCUUUAUAUUAUUUUUUUUUUCAAAAUCAGAGGCAGAAACUUCACAUUGGACUUGGGCCAGCAAUAUGUGUUUCCCUCUGUGGAUAAGCAAAAUUUCAUAAGAACUAAGAUGAUUCAGGCAGAUGUUCAUGAUGUAACUGUCAGAAAAAGCACUGGAAGUCACAAAGAUAAAUUAAAAUUCAGUGUUUGCAAAUUUCCCCACCAUACUCAAGCAUCUUUGAAGUAGGUAGUUGAUUGCUUUUAGGUACUUUUGCGUUUUGUUUUUUCAAUGGUUUCCUUUGCUCUGCAAAAACUUAUAAGUUUGAUUAGGUCCUAUUUGUUUAUUUUUGCUUUUAUUUGUAUUGCCUUGGUAAACCAGCCUAAGAAAACAUUGGUAUGAUAUAUCAGAGAGUGUCGUUCCACCUUGUGGAAGAGAUCUAUAAUCCUUUUAUAUUUGUUUUUCCUAUUGUGAUUUUCUCUUUCCUAUAGAUUCUUGCUUCUUUUCUACUUAGAGAACUUUCAGUAUUUCUUUAAGGAUAGGUUUAGUAUUGCUGUAUUCUUAGUUUUUGCUUGUCUGAGAAAUUCUUUAUCUCUCCUAUUCUAAAAGAUACUCUUGCUGGGUAGAGUAGUUUUUUUCCUUUCAGGCCAUUGAGUAUAUCUUGUCACUCCCUUCUGGCCUGCAAAGUUUCUGAAGAGAAAUCAGCUGAUAGACCUAUGGAGGUUCCUUUGCAACUAACUCUGUUUUUCUCUUGCUGCCUUCAUAAUCCUCUCUUUAAAUUUUGUCACUUUAAUUAUAAUAUGUCAUGGUGUAGGUCUGUUUGGGUUCAUCUUGGUUGUGUUCCUCUGUGCUUCCUAUACCUGGAUAUGUUUUCUUCUUUAGGCUUAGGAAGUUUUCAGCCAUAAUUUCUUCAAAUACAUUUUUGAUCCCUUUUUCUCUUUCUUCUCCUUUUGGGAUCCCUAUUAUUCAUAGGUUGACACAUUUUAUAUUAUCCCAUAGGUCUCAUAUAUUUUAUUUUUAAAAUUUGUCUUUCCAUCUGUUGUUCUGAUUGAGAGAUGUCCAUUAUUCUAUCUUUCAGAUCACUUGUUCAUUCUUCUGCAUUAUUCAAUCUGCUAUUUAUUCCCUAUAGCUUGAAGUUAUCUGAUUUUGAUUGGCUCCUCUUUAUAGGGUUUAGUUUCUUGUUACAAUGAUCUGCAUUUCUAUCAAUAGUCUUUCUUAACUCCUUCAGCAUUUUUAUUACCUCCCAUUUGAACUCAGGGUAUAGUACAAUAGGAGAGGUCUCCUUCAUUGUUCUUUCAGGGGAAUUCACUUGUUCUUUCAGUUGAAAGUGGAUCCUCUGCUUCUUCAUUUUACUUAUAUUUCUCUGACUAUAUGAGUUCAGAAUAAAGAAUUAUUGAUCGUGGUCUUAAAGGGCUGUUUUUAUGAGGGUGCAUCCUUGUGUAACUUGCGUGAGUCCAAUAUUUUUGGUGCAAGAACUGUUUUUAGUAUGGAUGCUGCCACAUCUUUCCUCAGGGUGCACUGGCCAUUAUCUCUUGAUGUGGGUAUGAUUGGUGUUGUGCCAACCAGAGCCUGCACUGGAUGUUGGAUGGGUCCUCUUCUUGCUCAAUGGCUGUCACAGCCCUGUAAGGGGCAAGUUCUACUCCCCAGUUGUUGCAGUAGAAGCCCACAGAUCCUGUUAUAAGUUGCAAUGUGAAGUAGGUGGGACAAGAGUGCCCCUACUGGAAAAGGAGCCACUGAGUAUUCCUCAGCAGGAGCUGUCCACUGGGAAAGUGUACUCUGUAAUGUCACCUGUCACCUGUUUUCUGUGUUCACAAAGUACACUUGGCAUGCCUUUGAUCCCAACCCAGCCAUGGGGACACUGGCAAUUUUCCCAGAUAUUCUUCAGGCACUGCACUGACAAAGCUUCUGAUGCAAAUUUUCUGAAUUCCAUCACCUGGACCUUCCAUAAUUCCUCCCCCGGACCCACUGUGGGAGCAUCUAGGAAUCAGCCUAGAUCCUACCCUACCUCCAUAAUCCCACCCACAACGUCUGUGCUAAUGACAUUGGACUCUCCCCAGCCACAGGAGUGCCAGUAAUUCACUUGGAUGUCCAUAGGCACUGUGCUCACAAAUCCAGAGGGUUAAAUCCAGCAAAGUCACACAGCUGCCAGGAAUUGACUCAGAUUUUAGCCCCACCUCCAUGUGUGGACAACCAGCAGACACCCGUUUGCUACCAGAGCUCCUAGAGGGAGAGCUGCCGCCCACCAUGAGCAUGUCCAGAAAGGAGCUCCUGUGGCAGGACCUGGGCUCUAUGCUGCCCACUCCCUCAGUUGCAGCCUGGACCAUGCUCCAGGCCCUUUAAGCUGUCUCCAUGCAGCCAAACCUAAUUCUCUCCCUGGGUCUGUCUGCUAAAGCCCAAAUUUCAGCACCCAGCUGCUGCACACACCAGCAGAUGUACAUUUUGGGCUGGGGAGAGCAGUGGGUGGCCAAGACCGUCUGUGCUAAUCUCUGUGUUCUUCCUAAUGCAAGCCAGCUGCUGUACUCCUCUGGUCUGCAGAAGCUCCCUAUCUGUCCUGGUUGAUCUCAUAGCUGGUGAAGGGAAUUCCCAAGAUAAGGGAACAUUUCCUCUUUCUCAGGUCCCUCUUGGGGGUUCUAGUCUCAUCCCAAUUCCGCCUUUUUUUUUUUUUUGGUCCUAAUGAAUUACAUGCUGCUCUUUCUCGAAGGUUUGAUUGCAUGAGAUCUUCUGCCAGUAUUCAGUAGGUAUUCUGUGAAAAUUGUUUCAUGUAUAGAUGUAUUUUUUGGUGUAUUUGUGGCGGGUGUUGGGCUCCAUAUGCUUUUUAUCCACCAUCUUGAUCUCCAUUCAAAUAACUAUAUUUUUUAAAAAUUAGAAAAGCAAUAUAGUUUUACAUAUAACCACCAAUCUUCUUAAAAUUCUUGAAAUAUUAGGAAGCAUUGGAUUCAUGCUGACAGGCACACAUUUUCCAAAAUUUCAGUCUUUCUUUAAAAUUCAAUGUUUGUCAUUGGCAACAAAUACAAGUCAGUUGUUUAUCUUGAAAUACCAAGCUCACUUUCUGCAUUUUCAAGAAAAUAUUUGCCAAAUACCCAAAUCUGAACAGUUAUAGUUUGUCAACAUUCUUUUAAUGAUGUUCUGCUCG